rnacentral:misc_RNA from 1 species
CUUUAUUGUUACAAUCUGGAAAUAGACCUGCUUGUUGCUUCAAUAAGUUUUCAUCGUAGUCAGAUUUUCUUUUGCCACAGGGUUUUCCAAUUGAUUGCUUCAAAAUUCCUUUCCGAGAUAAGUGACCAGAAUGAGAGUCAAAUGAUGAAUGCUCAUUUGAAGGAUUGGAAACACUGGAAGACCCUUCAAAGCUAGAAUGGUUAUUGGGUUGGUUUAAUGGGUGAUGAAACUGUGUUCGAGGAAUCAAACUUAACAAGUGGCUGG